GGAGAGAUGGUCGAGUGGUUGAUGGCUCCGGUCUUGAAAACCGGCAUAGUUUUUAAAACUAUCGAGGGUUCGAAUCCCUCUCUCUCCU
rnacentral:tRNA from 1 species